GACGAACGCUGGCGGCGUGCUUAACACAUGCAAGUCGAGCGGUAAGGCCCUUUCGGGGGUACACGAGCGGCGAACGGGUGAGUAACACGUGGGUGACCUGCCCUUAGCUCUGGGAUAAGCCUGGGAAACUGGGUCUAAUACCGGAUAUGACUCCAUGACGCAUGUUGUGGGGUGGAAAGCCUUGUGCGGCUAGGGAUGGGCCCGCGGCCUAUCAGCUUGUUGGUGGGGUGAUGGCCUACCAAGGCGACGACGGGUAGCCGGCCUGAGAGGGCGACCGGCCACACUGGGACUGAGACACGGCCCAGACUCCUACGGGAGGCAGCAGUGGGGAAUCUUGCGCAAUGGGCGAAAGCCUGACGCAGCGACGCCGCGUGAGGAUGACGGCCUC
rnacentral:rRNA from 1 species